UACGUAGGGGGCGAGCGUUGUCCGGAAUCAUUGGGCGUAAAGAGCGUGUAGGCGGCUUGGCAAGUCUGACGUGAAAGCCCGCGGCUCAACCGCGGAUUGUCGUUGGAAACUGCCUCGCUAGAGUCCGGAAGAGGAGAGCGGAAUUCCUGGUGUAGCGGUGAAAUGCGCAGAUAUCAGGAAGAACACCCGUGGCGAAAGCGGCUCUCUGGGACGGUACUGACGCUGAGACGCGAAAGCGUGGGGAGCGAACAGG
rnacentral:rRNA from 1 species